CUCCCAAUGAUGGAAAUGGCAUCCUUAUGUCUCAGAGAAGAUUGGAAUGCUUCUUUCACAACGAAACAGGGACUGUUUCCAUUGGGGGAAGGCACCUGCAUCUGUAUGUGUGUGCACAUGUGCCUGUCUGUAUAUCUGUUGGCAGAGCACUGAGGAUACAGCUGCCACAAGAUUUCCACAUCCCAAGGACCAGCUUUGUGGUAACCUUAUUCAUGGUGGAAACAAAAUGAAAAGCCUGACUUUCAGACCAUCUGGAUAUCAUCAGAAAUCAAGAUCAGAAAGAAUAAUUUACUCACUGAACAGACAUGAAAACAGCUAGUGUGGUGGAUGACAAGAAGCCCAUGUUUUUAUUUUUUUCAAAAAACAUUUUUGUCAUUUGGCUCAUACGCAUUUCACAUUUCGAAAUAUUUUGGGACAAGCAUUUAAACUGUGAGAUUGAAUUUCGUCAUUGUGGAGAAAGCAACAGCCUUCGUGGAAGUCAUCGCCAAGUCACCCAGACGGUUGACCCUUCUUCCAAGCCUUGCUGUCUGCUUCCCAAGGGAAGACAGAGUCAGAAGACAGAAAAGAAAGGAAACAGCCCUGGCAGCACGCUGGGAGGUAGCUUACCUAGUAGACUGGAAUCACCCAGAGCUGAGUUCUGUCUCACUUUGCCAGCAUCCUUGCCCUUUCCCCUCCCAAAUCUUCCCCAACCUUUUUUUUUUUAACCUUUCAAUAUAAAGAAAAACAGUCUCCACUCUCUAAUUACUUAGCAUACCAGGGUGGUUAGCAUAGAAGGACAGAAUUCAUGAACAUCUGUGUACUAGGUGGGGCACAAGCUCCUUGCAUCCCAUCUAGGAAUGCUGAUGCAGAAGGCAGAGGCUCAGAGCUGCCAGGGAGGCAGACAGUGUGCUGGAAGACAGCAGGGCCCCAAGAGUCAGCCCCUUUCGGAGUGUGGUGCAAUGCAGAUCUUUCUGAUCCACUGCUGGGCUGCAAGAAAGCGAAGGCAGACACCGCAGGCAGACCAGCCCCAGCAGAGUCCCUCAUACUGCGCACAUGCUACGACGGAAACCACUCCUACUGGAAUGAGGUCAGAAGCAGAUUAGGGUAUGUCUGGGAAAUAUCAGACCUUUGAGUUUUCCAAGAUUUUUUUUUUCUACCUUCCUCCCCAUAUUUUUAUUGCUGUCUGUGGCUGCCUUAGCACAUUGGCUUCCUUGAAGACAGAGAGAAGGAAACCUACUCCCGUUAGCAAGGAAAACAAAUAUUCAAGUGUAUCCCUACCUAAUUAGGGUUCCUGGGAAGGUCUCCCUGAGGCAAUUCAAAGAUGCUGGAUGAAGAGUUUGACAGUUGAAAAUAGGGCAGCAAUAAUCAAGGUCCUGAUGUGCAUAGUCGUGUAUUUUUAAUAAGCAGACCACACACAAAAGGCAUAGAAACAGGAGAGCGUAAUGGUUAUGACAGCCGUUCAUAGGCCUACUUGUUUUUCACCUUUUUUUUUUU